rnacentral:rRNA from 1 species
CCUACGGGCGGCAGCAGUGGGGAAUUUUGGACAAUGGGCGCAAGCCUGAUCCAGCUAUUCCGCGUGUGGGAAGACGGCCUUCGGGUUGUAAACCACUUUUGUAGAGAACGAAAAGUUUGUUGAUAAUACCGAUAGAUGAUGACGGUACUCUAAGAAUAAGCACCGGCUAACUACGUGCCAGCAGCCGCGGUAAUACGGAGGGUGCGAGCGUUAAUCGGAAUUACUGGGCGUAAAGGGUGUGCAGGCGGUUUUGCAAGAUGGAUGUGAAAGCCCCGGGCUUAACCUGGGAAAUGCAUACAUGACUGGAAGACUAGAGUGCGUCAGAGGGGGGUAGAAUUCCAGGUGUAGCAGUGAAAUGCGUAGAUAUCUGGAAGAACACCGAUGGCGAAGGCAGCCCCCUGGGACGCAACUGACGCUCAUACACGAAAGCGUGGGGAGCAAACAGGAUUAGAUACCCCGGUAGUC